CGGGGGAUGUGCUGAGGAGGCAGGUCUGAGAGAGGGGGACUACAUAGUGGCGGUGGAUGGAGAGAACUGUAAGUGGGCUAAACAUGGAGAGGUGGUCCACAGCCUGAAGAGCUGCAGUGACCGAGGAGUGGAGCUCAGCGUCAUCACACUGCACACACACGACACACAGGUGGAGAGGAGGUCAGUGAUGCUCUCCCCCAGAGGAGACAAAGAGAACGCUUGCCAACGGCCCAUGGGCGGGGCUAAGGCCCAGAGCUCCGUCUCCUUACUCAACUGGAACAGGAAGAAAAACAGGGAAGGGGGAGGAGUCACCAAGAGACUGGGCAGCACCUUCAGUCUGCCAUUUGGAAACCUGGGAGACGGUGAAUCCAUGUACUGAGAUAGACGGAGGGCAAGCUGAAAUGGUGCUUGAUUCCAUACAGUGCACUUCCAGCCAAAAGUAGUGCACUAGGGAGUAGGGUGCCAUUUCAGAUUGUGCUAUAGACAGACGAACCACUCAGGGAAUGGCAAAGGGACAUGUUCCAAUACAAGGAUGAGUUGUAUAUGACUGAUAGUCCUAGAUAUUGUAAUGCAUUAUUGCAGCAAUUGCAAGGAACAUUCCGAAUAGGAGUAUUCUACUAAGAGAAGAGGAGGGGAUGCUAUGUCCAGAUGCCCAGGGAAACUACAGUGGUUUUAGAAAGCACCCAACUGCAGGUAUAUGUCACUGAAGGGGUUAAGAGCAUCAUGUAAAAUUGUCUUAAAAUAGACUAAUAGUUGUGGCACAGUAUUAUUGUAGCUGACUUACAAUACAGCUAAAGGUCUUUAGAGAGUUGAAAGAAAAUAAACUGGACUUACUGUCAAACUACAGCCUCUGGUCUUACGACAAUGUCAUCAUGUUGUUUUAAUGUUGAAAACGUGUUGUUUUAAUGUUGAAAACGUGUUGUUUUAAUGUUGAUAACGUGUUGUUUUAAUGUUGAAAACGUGUCGUUUUAAUGUUGAAAACGUGUCGUUUUACUUUACUGUUUACUGUAUCCCAGAGUCUUGCUUUUCCACUCCGGUCUUAAUGAGGUUACUCUCAACAGUAAAACAACAGCCACACCUACAUCCAUUCAGUACCUGAGCUCUUACUUCCUCAAGCUGUGAAUCUUCUUUUUUGUUGUUGUAAGAUUUAAAUUUUAUUUGAUGUUUAACACACAAAUGACAUCACACAAACAUCAACUACAUCACACCUGCCCAGACUUAUUAGCACACACACCCCCCAUCUCCAGUGCCCGCAUAAUUUUCCACCACAUGACCUCAAACUGCAUCAUUAUUAUUAUCUCUCCGUAGCCCACUCACUCUAAAUGUUUUACAAUAAAUCAUUUGAUUUUUCCAUUGUGUUAACGAUGCCGAAUUAAUUGAUUUCCACAUUUUUAAUAUACGUUUUUUGCAAAAUGAUUGAUGAGAAAAGAAUCGUCCAGCCCAUUGGGUAUCUCACAACACCCCAUGUCUUGAAAUAUGCAUACUUCUAGAUGAAGAGUAACAUUGUAAUACUUCUGACAGCCAACUUUAUUAGCUCCGCCCGCAAAAAAACGGGAUUAUUGAGUCAUUGCAUGCGUUUGUAAAUUCACUCGACUCCGAUUUCAGAGCUCUCUGGACUGAGUGCGCCAGAGUGCAGAAUAACUGAUGAAUUUUACCAACAUUUUAAUAUGAACGGUGUCGGUAAACAUCAGCAAAAAAAAAGUAAUUAAAUUGUUGCCAGCAGCACAGUUACGGUCACCAACGCUCUAGACAACAUGAACCAGCUUUGCCAGGGUGAAUAAGAUGGUCAGAAUGAGGUGUUCUCUCAUUAUGUCUGGAAGUACAGUGGCUAGCAAGCUAGCCAACUUUAGCCACUUUGCUUGAGUGCUUGACUGUCGUUGUGAGAGGUCAGAACAUUCGGAUGAACUUUACUCCUCAGCCAGAGCGUCCAGUGUGCGCUCUGAACGCUCAGAGAGCGAAACACUGAAUUUGCCAUUAACAAUGGACAAUCUGAUAUCCGUUCUGAAUAUUAGGAACACCCAGAGCGCACUCUGAGCUCACACUCUGGCACUCCAGAGUGAAAUCAUGAACACACCCAUUAUAGUUUCACACUUGGGAUAUGACUGCUGUUGUGCUGUAGAACUGGUGAAUUCUGUGUCUUGUACUGUAUCAUCAAUUCCAUGGAUAAGUUUAUACUGGGUAUAGAUUUUCGUUAACUGUAAUUUCAUGAGUUAUGCGCCAACUUUCCCUCCAUCUUGUGCCAACAUCAGUUCUUUUAGGUCUUGGUUCCAAUAGUUUAUCUUUUUUUCCUAAGAGAUUGUCAGUUUGAUUUGCUCCUGGCAAGGUUUUGUAUAUCGUCCCUAUCAUAUGAACAUCCUUAUCUGACUCAAAUCAAAUUCCUUCAAGGUUGCUCUGAUGUCCAAAAGAUGUGUAACUUUAAAAUUGCAUGUAUUUGAAACUACAUUGGUCAGUCCAAAAUUACUUCAAUACUUUCACGGAAAUAAAUGUUUUCCUUGUUGCCAAGUCAUUUACAGUUUCUAUGAAUUUAGUGUUCCAAUUUAUCUGUAAAUUCUGAAAAGCUAUCCAAGGAUUGUUCCAUAGAGUUGUUUUUAUGGAGUGAUAUUGGUUCUAGAAUGUUUCAGUGUAUUCCAUGUUGUUGUAGUGUUCUGAACUAUGAAGUUGUUAAUGCUCUUAGCUUAAUGCUUUGGAAAUAGACACGUAAAAGCCGUGGGCAUCUUCUUGAAGCACACACAGAGUUUACAGCGGUAGCCAUGUUACUGCAUUCUGUGCUCCUACCAGUGUUUUUGAUGUGGACAUUUUCUUUGUUUCUCAUGUGUUGGGUACAAAUGACUACCCACAAUGCACUACAAUAGUUACGUCACAGGAGGUUGGUGGUACCUUAACUGGGAAGGACGGGCUCGUGGUAAUGUCUGGAGCGGAAUUAGUGGAAUGGUAUCAAAACAUAUAGUUUCCAGACAUUAAUAUGAGCCGU